rnacentral:lncRNA from 1 species
CCGAUUUCGGGGAGCGUGCGGCGCUGCCGCCGCGGUCGGGUGGAGCCCGCGGCGCGGCCCUGGGGCGGCGGCGGCUGCCCCGGGGGCUCCCCCGCCGGUCCGGCGUCACCGACCGCUUCGUGUUUUGUCCCUGCUCUUCCCUGCCUCCUCGUCCCGGGGACGGGAGGGGGACAGCCCCGCGCCCUGGCCCUGCUCCUCGCCCUGUGGGACCGCCGCUCGCUGACGGCGGGGCCGGCAGCCCCCGGCGGGGAGGCGGACGGGGAGCGUCCCCCCGACAUCGCAAGAGCGGGCUGAGAAAGUGGUUGUCUGCAGACCUUUUUGCAGUAUUCCUCCUGACUGUGGCCUUUUCUGAGUCUUACAUAUUUACCUCUUCUGUGUGUGUGGAAAAAUGUUAAAAAGGCUGUUGAAGAAUUGAACUCAAGUCUUUUCUUCAUGUGAGAAUAAAAUGGGGAAGUUCUAGAACCUUGAGAAUAACUCGGUGCAGUAGUCUUGUUUGCUGCAGGAACUAAGACUAAUCUCAAGAAUUCACUUAAA